AUACACUCAUCUCAAUUCUGAGCUUGCUUUGAUAAGGUAGUCGAUGGAGAUGGGGGACGAGAAUCAAGUAAUGUACGAAAAUGAAAUAUGUACCAAGCGAAACCAAAAGCUGGCGAAUACGAUUGGUUUGACGUCAAAAUGUUGACUUUUUUCUCGACAUAAAUCCCCAACUUCGCGAAUGUUCAUUUGUAGUACCAGAUUCCACCACCUCCAACAGCCCUGUACUUCUUCCUGUACAACCUUUUGAGAAAAACACGCACACUUCACACACUCCAAAUACUCACAAAACCAAGAAGACAACAGAAACUAAUCGAAACCCACAAAUUAUUCAUUAAAGCCCACCUAAAAUCCGUUAAGGAAAGAGGAAUUAGGAAAAAGUUAUAGUCUUUAUCCUUUCCGCAUGGCAUCACCGCAAAAGCCGCCGGCGGAGUCGGACCGACCACCGGCCGCGAUUCUCCACCAGCCAGCUUCACCCCGCUUCCCAUCUGGGACACCGACAUCCGGGGCCAAUCGGAAGAUAGCUAUCGCCGUCGAUCUCAGUGACGAGAGCGCCUACGCGGUGAAAUGGGCUGUUCAGAAUUACCUACGUCCCGGCGACGCCGUGAUCCUCCUCCACGUCCGUCCCACCUCCGUUCUCUAUGGCGCUGACUGGGGUUCCGUCGACUUAUCGGUCACCGACGAGGAAUCCCAGCAAAAAAUGGAAGAUGACUUCGACAAUCUCACCACAACUAAAGCUAAUGACUUGGCGCAGCCGCUGGUGGAAGCCAAUAUUCCGUUCAAGAUCCAUAUUGUUAAAGACCAUGAUAUGAAAGAAAGACUUUGUUUGGAAGUGGAGAGAUUGGGAUUGAGUGCGGUAAUCAUGGGAAGCCGGGGGUUUGGGGCGGCGAGGCGAAGUACUAAAGGAAGACUUGGGAGUGUUAGUGAUUAUUGUGUCCAUCAUUGUGUUUGUCCUGUGGUUGUUGUUAGGUACCCUGAUGAAAAAGAUGGAGCUUCUGAUGUAGGAGAAGGUUUGAAAAAAUCAGGGGAGUUGAAGAAUCUUGAAGGGCUUCACCCUGUUCCUGAGGAGGAGCCUAUCUAUCAUGAUUCCUCGGAUAAAGCUACAGCGAUACCAAAAUAAAAAAGACUUGUGCUUGACAAGCUCCUGGAUGAAUAAGGAUUACUCCUAAUUGUUCGAGUUAAAGAGGAGCCUUUUUUUCCUCAUUUGAUUUACAAGAUUCGGAGAAGGCUUCUUAAGAAGAUGGAACCGGAGCGAAGUGACCGAAUGAACCUGAGUGGUGUGGACUUCUUCCUGUUGAAUAUUGGGGAGUGGUUGUUUUGAGGUCUUUAUUUCUGCCUAUGCUUGGCAACUGUCUUUCAAGAACAAAUGAAGUUUGAAUGGGAUUGUUAAUGAGUAUCUUUGCUCUCUUCUAAGCUUCCAAAAUGGGUUUCAAUGCUCUUAUUUUGCCUUAAUAUAUACCUCAACG